rnacentral:rRNA from 1 species
GAUGAACGCUGGCGGCGUGCCUAAUACAUGCAAGUCGAGCGAACAGACGAGAGUGCUUGCACUCUCUGACGUUAGCGGCGGACGGGUGAGUCACACGUGGGUAACCUACCUAUAAGACUGGGAUAACUUCGGGAAACCGGAGCUAAUACCGGAUAAUAUUUAGCUUCGCAUGAUGCAAUAGUGAAAGACGGUUCUGCUGUCACUUAUAGAUGGACCCGCGGUGUAUUAGCUAGUUGGUGAGGUAACGGCUCACCAAGGCAACGAUACAUAGCCGACCUGAGAGGGUGAUCGGCCACACUGGGACUGAGACACGGCCCAGACUCCUACGAGAGGCAGCAGUAGGGAAUCUUCCGCAAUGGACGAAAGUCUGACGGAGCAAUGCCGCGUGAGUGAAGAAGGUUUUCGGAUCGUAAAACUCUGUUGUAAGGGAAGAACAAGUACGUUAGUAACUGAACGUACCUUGACGGUACCUUACCAGAAAGCCACGGCUAACUACGUG